rnacentral:rRNA from 1 species
GAGCCUGACGGAGCACGCCGCGUGAGUGAUGAAGGUCUUCGGAUCGUAAAACUCUGUUAUUAGGGAAGAACAAACGUGUAAGUAACUGUGCACGUCUUGACGGUACCUAAUCAGAAAGCCACGGCUAACUACGUGCCAGCAGCCGCGGUAAUACGUAGGUGGCAAGCGUUAUCCGGAAUUAUUGGGCGUAAAGCGCGCGUAGGCGGUUUUUUAAGUCUGAUGUGAAAGCCCACGGCUCAACCGUGGAGGGUCAUUGGAAACUGGAAAACUUGAGUGCAGAAGAGGAAAGUGGAAUUCCAUGUGUAGCGGUGAAAUGCGCAGAGAUAUGGAGGAACACCAGUGGCGAAGGCGACUUUCUGGUCUGUAACUGACGCUGAUGUGCGAAAGCGUGGGGAUCAAACAGGAUUAGAUACCCUGGUAGUCCACGCCGUAAACGAUGAGUGCUAAGUGUUAGGGGGUUUCCGCCCCUUAGUGCUGCAGCUAACGCAUUAAGCACUCCGCCUGGGGAGUACGACCGCAAGGUUGAAACUCAAAGAAAU